rnacentral:sRNA from 1 species
CAUAACGAACCAAAGAAACAACCUCUUUCUCCUGUCUCCACACACAGAUCACUCCAUAAAUGAUCUGAAUAUGGAGGUUCCAUUGGACAUGACCGCUGACAGAUCCCCUGUCACUCGUCCCCCCAAUUGUUCUGGCCUGCUUACAUCCUAUUUCGGUGAGGGCUUCACCUCAGACCUUGUUGUUUCUAACGAAUGUAAUCCUGUUUUGACAUCAGUAGAAAAUAAAGCCAUUGAUCGUCCUUUCCAGGAGAUCGAAUCGACAUCCAUCCCUCUGCAAGAUGGCACUGAGGAUCCAAGAACUACACUCGCGGAUCUGGUCGUUCGCGGCGCUUCAAUUGGCCAACUGUCAAGUUACUUCUCGGGCAAACCUUCGCGUUCUAGCUGUCAACCACAAGGAGAAGUCACCAAAAGGUACACUUCCAAACUCACAAAACCUCGGCCUUCAGGUGUAAAACAUUUCUUCCAAUGGAAGAAACUUCGCGCGAGCGGCGCAUCCAGCCUACUCUCCAACCUCACAACCCGUCAAUUGAAUCCGCAAACGGCCCAUUCUCGGGUCAAAAAACGGAGUUCUUCCGAAGAUGGUAGGAAACGCAGAGGUAGCAAAGCAAGCAUUAAAACAAUCACAAACUAUCGUCGCAGUGUUUCUAGCCCUUUGGAACGCCUCUCAGCAGACAUCGAAGCACUUGUUGAAGAAAAUAUCGUCUCUGUUGCGGCAUGCCCUCAGCC